CAUACAGCUUCUUUGUCUUAAUUUGUGACUGCAUAGAUGGUCUGAAGUUUCUGCCAACACAGAUCAUCUCAAAGACCUGCUGUAUCUGAGGGUCAGAAAUGGAUUAAUCUGGAUCUCGUCUUCUAAGGCCUGUCCUCACCAGCAAUACAUUCC